rnacentral:rRNA from 1 species
AAUAGAUACCCGGGUAGUCCACGCCGUAAACGAUGAGUGCUAAGUGUUAGAGGGUUUCCGCCCUUUAGUGCUGCAGCUAACGCAUUAAGCACUCCGCCUGGGGAGUACGGCCGCAAGGCUGAAACUCAAAGGAAUUGACGGGGGCCCGCACAAGCGGUGGAGCAUGUGGUUUAAUUCGAAGCAACGCGAAGAACCUUACCAGGUCUUGACAUCCUCUGCCACUCCUAGAGAUAGGACGUUCCCCUUCGGGGGACAGAGUGACAGGUGGUGCAUGGUUGUCGUCAGCUCGUGUCGUGAGAUGUUGGGUUAAGUCCCGCAACGAGCGCAACCCUUGAUCUUAGUUGCCAGCAUUCAGUUGGGCACUCUAAGGUGACUGCCGGUGACAAACCGGAGGAAGGUGGGGAUGACGUCAAAUCAUCAUGCCCCUUAUGACCUGGGCUACACACGUGCUACAAUGGAUGGUACAAAGAGCUGCGAACCCGCGAGGGUAAGCCAAUCUCAUAAAGCCAUUCUCAGUUCGGAUUGUAGG